GAUGAAGAACGUAGCGAAAUGAGAUAAGUAAUGUGAAUUGCAGAAUUCCGUGAAUCAUCGAAUCUUUGAACGCACAUUGCGCCCCCUGGCAUUCCGGGGGGCAUGCCUGUCCGAGCGUCAUUUCUGCCCUCCAGCCCGGCUGGGUGUUGGGCGCUGUCCCCCCGGGGACACGCCCCAAAGGCAGUGGCGGCGCCGCGUCGGGUCCUCGAGCGUAUGGGGCUUUGUCACCCGCUCGGGACGGACUCGUCGGCGCUGGUCUUCCUCCAGGCGACCCUUCGGGGCUCGUCUUCCUUCGGUUGACCUCGGAUCAGGUAGGGUUACCCGCUGAACUUAAGCAUAUCAAUAAGCGGAGGA
rnacentral:misc_RNA from 1 species